CUAAAGAUGAAGUUACUGUGGGUCCUGAAGCUACAGAUGGCAGCAAGUCAACAGCCAUGGUGGUCUCCAAGGCUGCCCACAGAUUUUCUUUAGGCCAUCGCUGAUGGGUUCUAUGUAUCAUUGAAAUGAAUGGCAAUAACACAUUCUGGGAUGUGGGUAACGCAUGGUGCCCUCAGAAUGGUCUUGUUGGCUUCACUGUAUGACUGAUGAUCCUCCAACAAUAAACAACCUACUGCUUGUAAACUCAUUGGACAAGCCAUAAACUCAAAGUGAUAUGUACCUUAUUCCACCACUAGAAAGAAGAUUCAGGAGUAAGUCCCACCUUCAACACCUUGUAAGUAC
rnacentral:lncRNA from 1 species